GUUUGAAAAUGUAAUACAUAUUUUGUUAGACUCUGCUGAUUUUUUCAUACAAAUUCAUAUCACUUUUGCUAGUUUCAGUAGGUAUUGUCUUUUGAUACAUAUUGUUAUAUUUUAUAUACUGUAGUGUAUUGUAUUGUACCCACCUUGCCCAGUGAUUAUAUAGACUUAGGUUGUUUUAGUGCAAUGUUAAUGCAGACAAAUGUGCUUCAUUCAAGGUAUACAGGUAUACUGGCUGGUUGUACAUGUACCUUAUUUGUUUUCUUGUUUGUUUAAUAUUGAAAGACACACACUUCCUACAAUUUGGUCAAUAAAUUCAUUUCCAAUCAG
rnacentral:misc_RNA from 1 species